CAGGGAGGGGCAGGAAGAGAAGAGAAAGGCCAAAGAGGAGAUGUAUGGAUGUGGUGAGGAAGGAUAUGCAGGUGGUUGGUGUGAUAGAGGA